rnacentral:rRNA from 1 species
AACGAACGCUGGCGGCAGGCUUAACACAUGCAAGUCGAGCGCCCCGCAAGGGGAGCGGCAGACGGGUGAGUAACGCGUGGGAAUCUACCCAUCCCUACGGGAUAACACAGAGAAAUUUGUGCUAAUACCGUAUACGUCCUUCGGGAGAAAGAUUUAUCGGGGAUGGAUGAGCCCGCGUCGGAUUAGCUAGUUGGUGGGGUAAUGGCCUACCAAGGCGACGAUCCGUAGCGGGUCUGAGAGGAUGACCAGCCACAUUGGGACUGAGACACGGCCCAAACUCCUACGGGAGGCAGCAGUGGGGAAUAUUGGACAAUGGGCGCAAGCCUGAUCCAGCCAUGCCGCGUGAGUGAUGACGGCCUUAGGGUUGUAAAGCUCUUUCACCCACGACGAUAAUGACGGUAGUGGGAGAAGAAGCCCCGGCUAACUUCGUGCCAGCCGCCGCCGUAAUAC